GGGUGCGAUCAUACCAGCACUCAUGCACCGGAUCCCAUCAGAACUCCGAAGUUAAACGUGCUUGGGCGAGAGUAGUACUAAGAUGGGUGACCUCUUGGGAAGUCCUCGUGUUGCACCCC
rnacentral:rRNA from 1 species